AGCCCGGAGCCCUUUCUUUGGGUUUCAUUGAGCAAUGCUCUAGUAGAGUCAACGUAGGCAAACAGCUGCCAGCACCCUCACCAUGAAAAUAGGAGGUGCCUCGGUGGUCCUUGCUCUGGCAUUUUUCUGCUUCUUCUCAGAUGUUGCCAGUCAAGCUUCGAUUAAGAACGAAUGCAGGAAAAUGUGGUCACUCCUGCGCAGUGGGAAGUAUUCCUGUCCCAUCACCAAGGAGCCCUUCAGCAGCCCAAAUAAAAAAGGAGACCUCAACAAGUGCAUGAUGUGCCAAAGGCUGCUGGAAAGAGACUCAAAAGGGAGUGGUGGAGAGGUGGACAGGAAUGUGAACUCCUUGGGAAAGGAUGAGUGUCGGGAGUUUCGGGAUCUGUUCAAGAGAGGGAAACUCUCCUGCACCAGGGAGAACGACCCUGUCCGAGAUGCCUCUGGGAAGCAGCACAGCAAUAAGUGCAUCAUGUGUGCAGAGAAGUUCAAAAGGGAGAAUGAGCAGAAGUUAUCUAAAAACAGACAAGGAAAAGAUAAGGAUGACUGCAGUGAGUUUCGCUCCCAGUUUGAAGCCGGCGGCCGCCUGUCCUGCACGAGGGAGAACGCCCCUGUCCGGGAUGCCUCUGGCAGGCAGCACAUCAACAAAUGCCUCAUGUGUGCUGAGAAGUUCAAAAAGGAAGCUCAAAGAGAGGGUGGAACUCUCCAGCGCAACAAAUUGCCUGCUUCAGAGAGGACAAAGCAGAAGAACUGUGGUGGCUCACGGCAGGAUGUGAACGAGAGGCGUCCCUUCUCCUCGGGCAGAGGCCCACAAGUGCAGCGAGGCAGGAACUGCAACCGGGCACCAGGCCGCAAGUCACAGAGCAGAGACAGCUACGAGGACCCCACGCAGCUGGACUGUGAUCGAAUUCUGCAUGGGGUAAAGGGUGGAAGGAUUUUCUGCAGCGAAUCCUCACAACCAGUCUGUGGCACUGAUGGGAAAACAUACAAAAAUGAAUGUGACUUGUGUUCAGCUGCCAUGAGAGCUUCAAACUUCAUCACGGUAAACUAUCGAGGCGAGUGCCGAGAGCCUGGCCCUGCAGUGCCCAGUGCCUGCAACCACUCCUGCCUGCAAAGCUCCAGCUGGAUUUCCAGGUGUUUCUGGUGGCUCUGGUGACCUGAUGGCCAUCAGGGAAGGAUGCUUGUGGGAAGGGUUGGGAGCAGUGUGAGAGCCUGUUCCCACUGGCCAGCACUGGGUCUGGCCACCUUCCCUGGAAGGUCUCUGCCAUAACUGAAUUCCUUUGAUCCUGUUCUGCUUUACUGAUGACAAAUAUAGGUCGGCAUUGUGGGAUAAGCUAUCUUUUUUUGGAGUAAUGGAGUUCAGACUGCCAGCAAACCCCAGGGAUCAGCUGUGACCAAAGAGCAAGUAAAGGAAGCGUCGAUGCUGAGCAUCAGGGGAGCUGCCGAGCCCCCAGGACUGCCAGAGCUGCCUCCAUCCCCUUCUGCAGCACACGGGGCCUGUCCUUGCUCAGGUGGAGGGCGAGAGGCUGUGGGGACUCAGCGGUGCCUCCCAGGUGUGCCCGGUGCAUGCUGCUGCAGUCCCUGCUGCCUCGCUGUAUCUAAAUGUGCUUCUGCAAUAAAGAUAAAUCCUCAGCUUCA